rnacentral:rRNA from 1 species
UACGUAGGGUGCGAGCGUUGUCCGGAAUUAUUGGGCGUAAAGAGCUCGUAGGCGGUUUGUCGCGUCUGCUGUGAAAAACCCGAGGCUCAACCUCGGGCCUGCAGUGGGUACGGGCAGACUAGAGUGCGGUAGGGGAGAUUGGAAUUCCUGGUGUAGCGGUGGAAUGCGCAGAUAUCAGGAGGAACACCAAUGGCGAAGGCAGAUCUCUGGGCCGUAACUGACGCUGAGGAGCGAAAGCAUGGGGAGCGAACAGG